rnacentral:rRNA from 1 species
UCCUUUCCGGGACUCAGUGCCGCAGCUAACGCAUUAAGCACUCCGCCUGGGGAGUACGACCGCAAGGUUGAAACUCAAAGGAAUUGACGGGGGCCCGCACAAGCGGUGGARCAUGUGGUUUAAUUCGAAGCAACGCGAAGAACCUUACCAGGUCUUGACAUCUCGAUGCCCGUCCUAGAGAUAGGAUUUUACUUCGGUACAUCGGUGACAGGUGGUGCAUGGUUGUCGUCAGCUCGUGUCGUGAGAUGUUGGGUUAAGUCCCGCAACGAGCGCAACCCCUAUUGUUAGUUGCCAUCAUUCAGUUGGGCACUCUAGCGAGACUGCCGGUAAUAAACCGGAGGAAGGUGGGGAUGACGUCAAAUCAUCAUGCCCCUUAUGACCUGGGCUACACACGUGCUACAAUGGUCGGUACAACGAGCAGCGAACUGGUGACAGUAAGCCAAUCUCUUAAAGCCGAUCUCAGUUCGGAUUGUAGGCUGCAACUCGCCUACAUGAAGUCGGAAUCGCUAGUAAUCGCGGAUCAGCACGCCGCGGUGAAUACGUUCCCGGGCCUUGUACACACCGCCCGUCACACCACGAGAGUUUGUAACACCCGAAGUCGGUGAGGUAACCUUUUA